UGCGCACGCGCCAACCCCCUGCUCCUCCCCCGCCGUUGUGACGCACGAGCUCCCCAUUGGCCGCGGCUGCUCGGACCCCUGCGUGCAACCGCGAUGGCGCCCUUGAGUGGCGGGGGCGGCGGUGCGGGACGCUGCUCGGCUCCGUGUCGCUGCGGGCUGUGAUGGGCGUUGCCCCCCCCUCCCCCACCCCGGCAGUGCGGGCGAGCGGCGGCCGGCAGGGCUUGUGCGGCGUUUGAGCCGGGCGGGGCGGGGCGGGGCGCGCAGAGACGGGCUCCUCACUCGGCGUGCUUGGUGCGGAUGAAGGCUGGCCAGUAGGACUUGGGAUUCUUGGCUAUCAACUCCGUUCGUGUCUGCAAGGGGCGCUUUAAAAACCUCCAAGUCGGUGUCCUGUUUUGCACACUUGGCUUCUGCCAUCGAUGCUGGCAUUUUACUUCCAAGCCAGUGGGUUUGGCACACUUGCUGUCAGGCUUUGUCACUUCCGUUUAGAGGAGUAGCAAUAGUCCGGUUUUCUGACGGGUUCGAAUAGAUUUGAGAUCCUUGCCUCAGACUGCGGGGUGAGAGAUCCUGUGUGUUAGACUAUAGCAGGGCUUCGGUAGUCUUCCCCCGUGGCUGCUGCGGAGUACGAAGCUCUUGCAGCACAAUGACACCGAGACACGGGCAGCAAGUCACAAAGAGACCUCUCUGACCUUGCAAAGACACGCAUGCCCGAACAGUUCAGCGGGGGCCACUUUCCCGCGUUUUGUUUUGCCCCCUGUGAGGAGCAAAAGCACUGCUGUCUCUGGGAUCCCGCUUGGUGGUUUAUUCUGUCUAUUCUGCACGAAAGGAGCCGUCACUGAAUGUUUUCAGCUAAAAUGUAUUGUACUCUUACAAGCGUAAUAAAAUAUGGACAUACA